UACGGAGGGUGCAAGCGUUGAUCGGAAUUAUUGGGCGUAAAGGGCAGGUAGGUGGUCUCAUUUGUCCGGGGUGAAAGCCUUGAGCUUAACUCAAGAAGUGCCCCGGAAACGGUGAGACUAGAGUGCUGGAGAGGGUCGUGGAAUUCCCGGUGUAGCGGUGAAAUGCGUAGAGAUCGGGAGGAACACCAGAGGCGAAGGCGGCGACCUGGACAGUGACUGACACUCAACUGCGAAAGCGUGGGGAGCAAACAGG
rnacentral:rRNA from 1 species